GAGCAAUUCUCUGUAAUCACCAAAAUAUUUCGGCACGCACUAAAAAAUAUUUGUUUUAAACUUUAUUAGUUCAAUAGAGCCACAUGAGCUUAACAAAAAAUAUUAUUACACUUAGCCCCAUAUGUUUACCGUUUCCUUGGUAACAGGACUUAAAGUGGCAAGAAAGAGGGAAAAUGCAGUGUUUACAAAUUAUGAUCAAUUAUGUCUAAUAAAAAGAAAAUAAUAUAGAUAUUCAGACAUUUAAAACUUUUUUCAAUUUAAAAAAAACAAAUAAAAAUUGUGUUCAACAGUAAACUUUCUUAAAAAAUAAUCUGUAUAGCUAAAAUAGGGUAAAAAGUGCAAUAAAAGGGGGGUUUUAGAGCCUAUUUUGAUCAGGUGUUGUAAAAAAAUGCAGCCAUUUCUCAUAUUGUUGAUUAUAUGAAUAGAGAGAAUGGAUUAAGGUUAUACAAGAAAAGAAAAAAAAUCAGUGGGCAAACUUGACUGUAUUGAAAUUAAUUGACCCUGAAAAGUUGAGUUGUCCUGUAUUUACCUAAUCAAAUUACCUCCCUUUACGGAGUUCUCUUGUAGAGAAACAAAUUAAAAACAGGAGGGAAAAUGUAAACAAAUGCAGACAACAAUGUUAUUUUGCGAAUUUCUUCAUGUUUUAUAUUCAAGCAUAAUGGGAAAUGGAUAAAUUUUUCACAGUGAUGUUAGCCUACACUUAUAUAUAUGGUUAAGUUGGUAUGAUUUGCUCAUAUUUUGAAAAUAUUGUCAGAACAAUGGAACUGUGUCUGUACUAAGACAGUGUAUUUUAUAGUUUAUUUUGCUUACCGUAACUAACUUUUUUAAUGUAUUUAUUUAUAUAAUCUUCGAAUAAUUGUUAUAAAAUGUGUAGCAUAAAAGAUUUCUUAGGCAAUUGUGACAACUGCAGUGACGACAGGUAUUUUUGAAAAUGCUUCCAUUGGAAAAAGAGACAUGUAUAAAUUUUUGUCAGAAAUUUUUUUACUUAAAUCUGACAUUACAUUGUACGUCACAACUGAGGAUCUGUGAUAUUCAUAGAAAUAUUAUCAUCGAAACAACUAACAAGAAAUAUAGAAGGAAAGAUUGUGGUGUGCCUUCAGUAAAUGUCAUUUUGAAAUAUCAUAAUACUACAAAAGCAGUGGAUCGACAUGUUACACCCAAGAUGUUUCAAAGAAUUGUUACAAAGACAGGCAUUUUCAUUCCUAUUGGAACAUCAAUUUGUAGACUGUGUAGAGAAAAACUAUUUGGAAAUAACAGUAUUGAGCAUGUUGAGGAGGAGAACACUAUUGAGACAAAUACAAAGAACAAGAUUGCAGAAGCUGAAAUACUACCACCUUAAAGAAAGAGGGCACUUGAUAAAGUACCAGGGAAGCGUUACAGGGUGAAGGUUGUUGACACAAUCCUUGAUUUAGAUGUAACCAAGAAUAAAGAAACAAUAACCAAUAUUACAAGUUUUUACAACUUUAGAUUUGAGAGCAGUCAUUUGAGGAUGUGGCAGACAUACAAUAUUGAUGAAGGAAAGCUUGUGACUUUAAAAUCAACAAAGAAUUCUGCAGAGGCGGAUUUAGAGGGUUUUUCAGGGGACCCGGGCCCCCCUUUUGUGGGAAACAUUUUGUUGAUUAUAUAGGGAAUCACUGAAACAUGACUGGAGCGGGCCCCUUCUUAAGCAGUCAGUGGGCCCCCCCUUAUGAAAAUUUCUGGAUCCGCCACUGUUCUGUGCAGUUAAAAGUACUCAAUGACUGGACAGAGAUGUCUUUUAAUGACCUCAUUACUGAAGGAACAGAAUAGGCUUCAAAACAACAGAAGCAGACAUUCAUUUGUUCUAUGGAUGGCUGCAUUCAAGAGUUCAAGAACCAGAUUAGUCUUGAUCAACACCUCCUUCAAGGCAGCUGUGAAUAUAAGCUAGAGAAAGGCCCAUUAAAAGAUCAGGCAAAAGUUCUAUAUGCCCAAAAGCUGUCAAAUAAUGUACAUCAUUGUCCUGAUAUGCAAGCAGUCUUACUAGAAAAUGCAUGUACUACAGACUUGAGUGCCAAAGAAAUGUGAUGGGCAUUGAAAGUGAAAAAGAAAAAGAUUUUCUUUAGCAUCAAACAGAAAGAAUUCAUGACGGAUUUAUUUUAUUUAUCUUGAAAGGAUGCAAAAAGCAGCCAUAUUGGAUUCAACGACAUUAUAUUUUCCCAAUAAAUAGGCGAAAUAGAGAAAAAAACGCCUACCUUAAACUACUUUGUAAUAGCUUAUAUCCAAAUUUGAAGCGUAAACAAAGCCCCAAAACAUACUAUGUUACAGUUUUACACUUGAAGUAUUCAUAUGACGUCAUGAUGUUGCUAUGAAGUUUAUGUGCCAAAGAAGUCAACAACAUUUUGUGGAAUUUUUAUUUUAAGCAACUAUAUGUCCAAAUAAAAAACAGAAACAAUAUCUUUAUUGACUAUUGCAUUAGAAUGGAUAUAACUGUAUUGUAUUUUAAGGUUUGUGGACGUAAAUCUAGAUUUUACUGUUGCAAUUAUCUGUUUACCUAGCUCUGCUACAGGUCACUAGGUAAACUCAAUUUGCGACAGUAAUAUCUACGUUUUAUGUCCGAAAAGGUUAAAAUACAAUACAGUUAUCUCCUAAAUUACCUACACAUGAUUGCACCAAUAUGAGUUUAAUAUAAUGAA